rfam:Echinostoma caproni strain Egypt genome assembly, scaffold: ECPE_scaffold0002776
AACAGCUACGGAGACAUGGUUCCUUCAACGGUGAUAGGAAAAGUCGUUGGGAGCGUAUGUUCGUUGUGCGGUGUUCUCGUCAUUGCACUACCAGUGCCGGUGAUUGUGUCUAAC